GACGAGGCCCAGAGCUAGUGCUCACCGCAUUCCCCGGCUGCCCUCUCUUCUUGAGACCCUCCGACGCCGAACGGCUGCCUUUACCUGGUCCUCAGGCGGGCGGAAGCUGCAUCGAGAACCCGCGACUCUGGUCGGUCAGAAAACCAACUUGAUCAGCUCUGGCCUGCAGCCAUCCACUUUGGACUUUCUUGAGCCCUUCCCGCCGGCCCGGCUCGGCUCAGCUUGACUUCUGCCUGCUUCUGCCUGCCUGCAAUCCAGACCUGUUUAACCCAGAUCUUACUCACCUGGUCACUACCUGCCUGCCAGCAAACUCUAGCCUCAGAGAAGACCGCUCAUCACCCCAGGCCCAGCCCCAGCCUACCUGUCCUGCUGCCUGAAAUCCAGAUCCAGAUGAACUGCCUGGCCCAGCAAUUCUGACUCAUUGUCCCAGGCCCAGGACACACUUUCACUGGCUGGUAAAAACAGAGUCAUCAAAGUCUACUGGAAAGGAAAAAGUCAAGAUGACUGAUGGUGAUUCAAGAUGCGGUGGAUGACCUUGGCUUCUUUGAUUGGAAAUGGCUAAACAAAAUGCUUCUUAUAAAACAGUAAUAUUCCA